AUUGAACGCUGGCGGCAGGCCUAACACAUGCAAGUCGAACGCGUGGCGGCCGGGUGAGUAAUGUCUGGGAAACUGCCUGCUGGAGGGGGAUAACUACUGGCAACGGUAGCUAAUACCGCAUACCAUCGGAUGUGCCCAGAUGGGAUUAGCUAGUAGGUGGGGUAAAGGCUCACCUAGGCGACGAUCCCUAGCUGGUCUGAGAGGAUGACCAGCCACACUGGAACUGAGACAAGGUCCAGAAGCCUACGGAAGGCAGCAGUGGGGAAUAUUGCACAAUGGGCGAAAGCCUGAUGAAGCCAUGCCGCGUGUAUGAAGAAGGCCUACGGGUUGUAAAGUACUUUCAGCGGGGAGGCGUUACCCGCAGAAGAAGCACCGGCUAACUCCGUGCCAGCAGCCGCGGUAAUUC
rnacentral:rRNA from 1 species